GGAGAUGAAGAGAAUAGGAGAUUAUUGCUCUGAUACCAUGUUAGAAUAUGAGAUUAACUUAAUGAAGAAUGAUGAAAACACUGAAGAACAAUGAGGAUGGUUGAGAGAAUAUGGAGAAGAGAGACUGGUAAACUUAAUUCUCUUAAUUUUUGCAAUUGUGGAUACAAUAGUUAAAAAGCAGGUAUGAAUUUCGAGGCUAGGCAAAACGAUUAGCCUUACAAAAGAAGCAAAUAUGAAAGUAAAUUUCUGCUUUAUUGGAUACUAUUCACUUGCUAGUUUCUUGACUUUAACAACAUGAAACCAUGAACGUUGGUCGGAGGGAUGCAAUACAUACAUUUUCAUGAAUAACUUUUUG
rnacentral:lncRNA from 1 species